AGUGAACGCUGGCGGCGUGCCUAACACAUGCAAGUCGAGCGAAUGAAGUUCCUUCGGGAAUGGAUUUAGCGGCGGACGGGUGAGUAACACGUGGGCAACCUGCCUCAUAGAGGGGAAUAGCCUUCCGAAAGGGAGAUUAAUACCGCAUAAGAUUGUAGUACCGCAUGAUACAGCAAUUAAAGGAGCAAUCCGCUAUGAGAUGGGCCCGCGGCGCAUUAGCUAGUUGGUGAGGUAACGGCUCACCAAGGCGACGAUGCGUAGCCGACCUGAGAGGGUGAUCGGCCACAUUGGGACUGAGACACGGCCCAGACUCCUACGGGAGGCAGCAGUGGGGAAUAUUGCACAAUGGGGGAAACUCUGAUGCAGCGACGCCGCGUGAGUGAAGAAGUAAUUCGUUAUGUAAAGCUCUAUCAGCAGGGAAGAUAGUGACGGUACCUGACUAAGAAGCUCCGGCUAAAUACGUGCCAGCCGCCGCGGUAA
rnacentral:rRNA from 1 species